rnacentral:rRNA from 1 species
UACAGAGGUCUCAAGCGUUGUUCGGAUUCAUUGGGCGUAAAGGGUGCGUAGGUGGCGCGCUAAGUCAGGUGUGAAAUUUCGGAGCUUAACUCCGAAACUGCAUUUGAUACUGGCGUGCUUGAGGACUGGAGAGGAGACUGGAAUUCAUGGUGUAGCAGUGAAAUGCGUAGAGAUCAUGAGGAAGACCAGUGGCGAAGGCGGGUCUCUGGGCCGACACUGACGCUGAUGCGCGAAAGCUAGGGGAGCAAACGGG